GAUGAACGCUGGCGGCGUGCCUAAUACAUGCAAGUCGAGCGAACAGACGAGGAGCUUGCUCCUCUGACGUUAGCGGCGGACGGGUGAGUAACACGUGGAUAACCUACCUAUAAGACUGGGAUAACUUCGGGAAACCGGAGCUAAUACCGGAUAAUAUAUUGAACCGCAUGGUUCAAUAGUGAAAGACGGUUUUGCUGUCACUGAUAGAUGGAUCCGCGCCGGAUUAGCGAGUUGGUAAGGUAACAGCUUACCAAGGCGACGAUGCGUAGCCGACCGGAGAGGAGGAGACGCCACACUGGGACUGAGACACGGCCCAGACUCCUACGGGAGGCAGCAGUGGGGAAUAUUGGAAAAUGGGCGAAAGCCUGAUCCAGCAAUGCCGCGUGAGUGAUGAAGGCCUUAGGGUUGUAAAGCUCUUUUAACCGGGAGGAUAAUGACAGUACCGGGAGAAUAAGCGCCGGCUAACUCCGUG
rnacentral:rRNA from 1 species